rnacentral:rRNA from 1 species
GGGGAAUAUUGGACAAUGGGGGGACCCUGAUCCAGCCAUGGCGCGGGGGUUGAGAAGGCCUUAUGGGUGUAAAACACUUUAAGGGAGGAGGGAGCUCUUUUGGUUAAUUCCCAAGAUGAAUUGACGUUACUCGCAGGAUAAGCACCGGCUAACCAUGUGCCAGCAGCCGCGGUAAUACAGAGGGUGCGAGCGUUAAUCGGAUUUACUGGGCGUAAAGCGUGCGUAGGCGGCUUUUUAAGUCGGAUGUGAAAUCCCCGAGCUUAACUUGGGAAUUGCAUUCGAUACUGGGAAGCUAGAGUAUGGGAGAGGAUGGUAGAAUUCCAGGUGUAGCGGUGAAAUGCGUAGAGAUCUGGAGGAAUACCGAUGGCGAAGGCAGCCAUCUGGCCUAAUACUGACGCUGAGGUACGAAAGCAUGGGGAGCAAACA